rnacentral:pre_miRNA from 1 species
UACGGUGGGUUUUGCUGGUUUGCAUCUCAGCUUGGCCUCUGUUGCUGUGCAAAUCCAUGCAAAACUGACCGUGGG